AAAGAUCUGAUCAGUCAGGCUACUGGUUAUAUUCCAGGACUUGUCCAGUCCUGGGUAUAACCAAAGCCCGACUG
rnacentral:pre_miRNA from 14 species